UCAGGGUUCGAUUCCGGAGAGGGAGCCUGAGAAACGGCUACCACAUCCAAGGAAGGCAGCAGGCGCGCAAAUUACCCAAUCCAGAUACUGGGAGGUAGUGACGAGAAAUACUGGGGCCGCUCUAUGAGUGGCGUCCGGAAUGAACGUAACAUAAAACAUUCGAUGAGGAUCUACUGGAGGGCAAGUCUGGUGCCAGCAGCCGCGGUAAUUCCAGCUCCAGUAGUGUAUAUCAACAUUGUUGCGCUUAAAACGCUCGUAGUUGGAUUACAGAGCUCAAAAGGCCGGCCCAAUAUAUCAGGGCUGUGCUGGUGGCCUCGACUAUUGCAGACAAAAUCUGCAGUGUCGUGGUUGUGUAGCUCUUUAUCGCACCGGUACUUUAUUGAAGUCUUUGUUGGCUCGUCUAGUAGCCGGUGGGGUGUGCCUUGAAUAAAGCAUAGUGCUCAAAGCAAGCGUACGCUCGUGUGUAAUAGCAUGGAACGAAUAAAUUUGACCGGGGCUUGUACGGGACGGCAUUCUUGUCGACCUAACAAGUGCCAUGACUCAUACAGUGUUGGUUGGAGUCACGGUCUCAGUGGUUAACAGGGUCACCUGARGGCACUAGUACUUUGUGGCGAGAGGUGAAAUUCUUAGACCCACAAAAGACUGACUAAUGCGAAAGCAUUUGCCAAGAGUGUUUUCAUUAAUCAAGAACGAAGGUCAGAGGAUCGAAGACGAUCAGAUACCGUCCUAGUUUUGACAGCAAACGAUGCCGGCAUARGUUUGGGGCAGUCGUACUCGGCGUGAAUCCGGGGCGCACUACCUCGGGCCUUAAGGGAAACCUAGCUUUCGGGCUGCUGGGAGAAUAUCGCUGCAAGGCUGAAAUUUAAAGAAAUUGACGGAGAGGCACCACCAGGAGUGGAGCCUGCGGCUUAAUUUGACUCAACACGGGGAAACUCACCAGGUCCAGACAUUGGUAGGAUUGACAGAYUGGUARAUCUUUCAUGAUUCAGUGGAUGGUGGUGCAUGGCCGUUCUUAGUUGGUGGAGUGAUCUGUCAGGUCUAUUCCGGUAACGAGCGAGACCMCGGCCCUUAGUUUGUGGGUGCAAUUUCACCUGUCAAGGGAUGAAGUGUAAACACACUAGGGGGACUAUUGACGAAAAGUCAGGGGAAGCGUGGCAAUAACAGGUCUGUGAUGCCCUUCGAUGUCCUGGGCUGCACGCGCGCUACAAUGGCAGCAGCAGAAAGUGACUGGCCAGAGAUGGUACGGUCAAACUCGAAUAGCUGUCGUGAUAGGGAUUGGGCCUUGCAAUUGUUGCCCAUGAAAGAGGAAUUCCUCGUAAGCACUGGUCAUCAGCCAGUGUUGAAUACGUCUCUGCCUCUUGUACACACCGCCCGUCGCUACUACCGAUUGAAUUGCUUCCAGAGCUGGCUGGGGUGAUGGCUGUUA
rnacentral:rRNA from 1 species